UACGUAGGGUGCGAGCGUUGUCCGGAAUUAUUGGGCGUAAAGAGCUCGUAGGCGGUUUGUCGCGUCGGCCGUGAAAACUUGGGGCUUAACUCCAAGCUUGCGGUCGAUACGGGCAGACUUGAGUUCGGCAGGGGAGACUGGAAUUCCUGGUGUAGCGGUGAAAUGCGCAGAUAUCAGGAAGAACACCCGUGGCGAAGGCACGUCUACUGGCGACACGUGACACUGAGAGACGAAGACUAGGGGAGCGAAUGGG
rnacentral:rRNA from 1 species